rnacentral:rRNA from 1 species
UACGGUAGGGGGCAAGCGUUGUCCGGAAUCAUUGGGCGUAAAGCGCGUGUAGGCGGUUCGAUAAGUCUGCUGUGAAAGUCCAGGGCUCAACCCUGGAAAGCCGGUGGAUACUGUCGGACUAGAGUGCGGAAGAGGCGAGUGGAAUUCCCGGUGUAGCGGUGAAAUGCGCAGAUAUCGGGAGGAACACCAAUUGCGAAGGCAGCUCGCUGGGACGUUACUGACGCCGAGACGCGAAAGCGUGGG